AUGAAGGGGGGCCAUUACAAGAAGGAGAGCCAUGUGCUGCUCUACAGUCAGAGAGAUAGGGUGGGAUUUCACAGGCUAGCAGCACAUGCUCUCACCACGCUGAGAGCUGAAAGAUGUAUAGUACACGUGUGUGUUUGCAGUAGAAGGCCAUGGCGUCUUGGGACUGUCGCUUUUGAGGAAAAGGCAAGACAAUAUGAUGACAGAGGGGGGUCUCAGGCCACAUCCACUGCCAGAGAUGCUGUUCCACUUUUUCAAUUGUUUUUUUUUUUUUUUCCUCUCGCCCUUUGCCCCUGGUGGGAAAGUAUUUAGGACUUUAGGUCUAUGACAAAUAAAAAUGUCAUCCCUGCUCAAGUCUGCUGUGAUUGUUUGUGGGCAAACCGGUGCUCGGAGGUCUUGAGAUGUUGCCUUACAGUGAGAGGAGAUGCUGGGAAUGGCUCCGUCCUCUUCA
rnacentral:lncRNA from 1 species